CUCAGCUGGGAGAGCGCUUGCAUGGCAUGCAAGAGGUCAGCGGUUCGAUCCCGCUUACCUCCA
rnacentral:tRNA from 1 species